AAAUGCGAUAAGUAAUGUGAAUUGCAGAAUUCAGUGAAUCAUCGAAUCUUUGAUCGCACCUUGCGCUCCUUGGUAUUCCUUGGAGCAUGCCUGUUUGAGUAUCAUGAAAUCUUCAAAGUAAAUCUUUUGUUAACUCAAUUGGUUUCUACUUUGGUAUUGGAGGUCUUUGCAGCUUCACACCUGCUCCUCUUUGUUCAUUAGCUGGAUCUCAGUGUUAUGCUUGGUUCCACUCGGCGUGAUAAGUUAUCUAUCGCUGAGGACACUGUAAAAGGUGGCCAAGGUAAAUGCAGAUGAACCGCUUCUAAUAGUCCAUUGACUUGGACAAUACUUUUAUGAUCUGAUCUCAAAUCAGGUAGGACUACCCGCUGAACUUAAGC
rnacentral:misc_RNA from 1 species